GGAUGGUGGAUCAGGAAAGACAGGGGAAGGCAACAGUGGAGAAGAGCACAGGCAAGGAGUGAAUGAGACAGACAUGAGGUCGGCGAUGGCUAGAGAUGAGCCCAGUGAUGACAUCAGUGUGACAGUGUUUCUGCUGCUAACCUGACCCUGACUCUGCAGCAGUCCUUCGUGCCCUCCGGGUGAAGAGUCUUAAUGGAGGCCGACCGCGGCUGCUGUCAGAGCGCU